GACAGAGGAUGCAAGCGUUAUCCGGAAUGAUUGGGCGUAAAGCGUCUGUAGGUGGCUUUUUAAGUCCGCCGUCAAAUCCCAGGGCUCAACCCUGGACAGGCGGUGGAAACUACCAAGCUGGAGUACGGUAGGGGCAGAGGGAAUUCCCGGUGUAGCGGUGAAAUGCGCAGAUAUCGGGAAGAACACCCGUGGCGAAGGCGGUUCUCUGGGACGGUACUGACGCUGAGACGCGAAAGCGUGGGGAGCGAACAGG
rnacentral:rRNA from 1 species